ACUCACAAACAAGAGGUUGCCUUCUGUCCAGCCCUAGUAUGAGGCUUAUUGUAGGCUGUUAUGUAAGGUGGAGAUGGUUUUGCUCAGACAAACUUUAUUACCAGCACCAAUGAGGGGAACCGAGAAUUCUGAGCCACUGUAGCUGACAUCACAGAACUCCAGCUGCUCUGUGGACUGUAUCCUUUUCUACCUCUGUCCUUAAAAGCUAUUGGAGCCCUUAUUAAAAAAAAAAAAAAACUGCUGCUGUGUACUUAGAGAGCAACUCUUAUUUCGAGUGAUUCUUUUACCUGAUAAGGCAUUUGGAUAUUUAUUCCUCUAACUCGACUCCAAUCCCCCUAUCUUUUUCGUGUUUUCCCAGGUAAAGAGGAAAAAUCUCCAAUCCACUCCCAUCUGUUUGCCUCAUCCAGCAGAGCUUCCAGGCCACAGAAGGCUCAAGACUACAAUAUAAUUCCUGAGACUGCCAAGACCUUGGGUCUGUAUAACACGUGUGCCCAGUACCCAAGAAAGCCAGAAGAGGAUAUCAGAACCCCUGGACUGGCAUUACAGACAGUCCUUUUCCAUCACCUCAGUACUGAGAACUGAACCUCAGUCCUCUGAAAGAGUAGCUAGUGCUCUUAACUGCUGAGACAUCUCUCCAGCCCCCAGAAGACCACGAGAGAAUGCCUACAAGUCACCAAGUGAAAGGCAUCUCUGCUCCUGGUUUGACACUUACAGUCUAGAAAGUUUCCAUGUGUGAUGAACAGGACCUCUGUCUCCCCCUUGGGAGCUUAAGCGAGCUGUGGUAGACCACAAGAACCAAUGGAAAUACCUCAUCCUAUUUAUGCUGGAUCACAUUUCACCAUUUCUGACAGAUGCAGCUUUGGGGAAGAAUAUUAACGACCAUGGGGGACACAGUAGUUGUUUGGAGACACCCGCAAUAAAUAGCCAAGAACUAUUUC
ensembl:lincRNA D830026I12Rik RIKEN cDNA D830026I12 gene